UCUUGGAGUUCUUUGGCUGUGGAGACAUCAGCAAGGAUAGAAAUUUCCUGUAAACUAAAUUUUUACUCCCCGUACUUGAGCCUAUUUUCUUUGUUUUGAGUGGGAAGACGCUGCAGGAGUUGCACGAUUUCAUAAUCUUUUAUCCUCCUUUCCCAAAAGCAACUUCUUUUGUAGGUCUAAAAGUUCUAGAGAAAAGGUUGGUGGGGAAAGAUGCAUUCUUCAGUCUUACUGACUGCAGUAUAACCAUAAGAUUACAUAAGCUCACACAAGCUCACCAUGGCAGUGACGAUCAUGUAAGAUCAUCAUGGCAGUGGACAUCUCUCUCUGAUGAACCUCAGCCUCAGAAAUAAAAAUUGCAGCUGGAGAUGUGACAUCUUUGAAUCUCUCCAUCAGAAGAAAAGGAGGAAGCUAUUUCACAAAAUACUGACCAGCACCACUCCCACUCAGAAUAUUGUUCUGCAACAAGAAGAGGAGAGUAGG